rnacentral:rRNA from 1 species
CCUACGGGGUGCUGCAGUGGGGGAUAUUGCACAAUGGGGGAAACCCUGAUGCAGCGACGCCGCGUGUGGGAAGACGGUCCUCUGGAUUGUAAACCACUGUCCCCAGGGACGAAAAUGACGGUACCUGGGGAGGAAGCUCCGGCUAACUACGUGCCAGCAGCCGCGGUAAUACGUAGGGAGCGAGCGUUGUCCGGAAUUACUGGGGGUAAAGGGAGCGUAGGCGGGGAUGCAAGUUGGGUGUCAAAACUACCGGCUCAACUGGUAGUCGCACUCAAAACUGCAGCUCUUGAGUGAAGUAGAGGCAGGCGGAAUUCCUAGUGUAGCGGUGAAAUGCGUAGAUAUUAGGAGGAACACCAGUGGCGAAGGCGGCCUGCUGGGCUUUUACUGACGCUGAGGCUUGAAAGUGUGGGGAGCAAACAGGAUUAGAUACCCUGGUAGUC